UCCCUGGUGGCUCAGAUGUAAAGAAUCUGCUUGCAAUGCAGGAGACCUGGGUUCAAUCCCUGGAUUGGGAA
rnacentral:tRNA from 1 species